AUACCUUUCUCGGCCUUUUGGCUAAGAUCAAGUGUAGUAUCUGUUCUUAUCAGUUUAAUAUCUGAUACGUGGGUCAAUGGUCCACAGUGAUAUUAAAUUUAAUUUUUAGCGGGGAAGGUCCAUCACAGGUGCUUGCAUCUGGGGUCUUCAUGCGUCGCCCAUGCGCUGCACUAUUGUAAGGGCCUGGCACACCACAC